rnacentral:rRNA from 1 species
GAUGAACGCUGGCGGCGUGCCUAACACAUGCAAGUCGAACGAAGCACCUUACCUGAUUCUUCGGAUGAAAGUUUGGUGACUGAGUGGCGGACGGGUGAGUAACGCGUGGGUAACCUGCCCUGUACAGGGGGAUAACAGCUGGAAACGGCUGCUAAUACCGCAUAAGCGCACGAGGAGACAUCUCCUUGUGUGAAAAACUCCGGUGGUACAGGAUGGGCCCGCGUCUGAUUAGCUGGUUGGCAGGGUAACGGCCUACCAAGGCAACGAUCAGUAGCCGGUCUGAGAGGAUGAACGGCCACAUUGGAACUGAGACACGGUCCAAACUCCUACGGGAGGCAGCAGUGGGGAAUAUUGCACAAUGGGGGAAACCCUGAUGCAGCAACGCCGCGUGAGUGAAGAAGUAUUUCGGUAUGUAAAGCUCUAUCAGCAGGGAAGAUAAUGACGUUACCUGACUAAGAAGCGCCGGCUAAAUACGUG